ACUCCUACGGGAGGCAGCAGUGGGGAAUAUUGCACAAUGGGGGAAACCCUGAUGCAGCCAUGCCGCGUGUGUGAAGAAGGCCUUCGGGUUGUAAAGCACUUUCAGUGGGGAGGAAGGUAGUGUAGUUAACACCUGCAUUAUUUGACGUUACCUACAGAAGAAGCACCGGCUAACUCCGUGCCAGCAGCCGCGGUAAUACGGAGGGUGCGAGCGUUAAUCGGAAUUACUGGGCGUAAAGCGCAUGCAGGCGGCCUGUUAAGUCAGAUGUGAAAGCCCGGGGCUUAACCUCGGAAUUGCAUUUGAAACUGGCAGGCUAGAGUCUUGUAGAGGGGGGUAGAAUUUCAGGUGUAGCGGUGAAAUGCGUAGAGAUCUGAAGGAAUACCAGUGGCGAAGGCGGCCCCCUGGACAAAGACUGACGCUCAGAUGCGAAAGCGUGGGGAGCAAACAGGAUUAGAUACCCUGGUAGGAUAGCG
rnacentral:rRNA from 1 species